GAUGAACGCUGGCGGCGUGCCUAAUACAUGCAAGUCGAGCGAACAGACGAGGAGCUUGCUCCUCUGACGUUAGCGGCGGACGGGUGAGUAACACGUGGGUAACCUACCUAUAAGACUGGGAUAACUUCGGGAAACCGGAGCUAAUACCGGAUAAUAUAUUGAACCGCAUGGUUCAAUAGUGAAAGACGGUUUUGCUGUCACUUAUAGAUGGAUCCGCGCCGCAUUAGCUAGUUGGUAAGGUAACGGCUUACCAAGGCAACGAUGCGUAGCCGACCUGAGAGGGUGAUCGGCCACCCUGGACCUGGGCCCCGGUCCAGCCCCCUACGGGAGGCAGCGGUGGGGAUUCUUCCGCAAUGGGCGAAAGCUUGCCGGGGCACCGCCGGGUGGUUGAUGAGGUCCUUCGAUCCGUAAACCCUUUUUAUUGGGAAAGACCAAAUGUGUAAGUACCUAUGCCCGUUUUGCCGGUACCUAUCAGAAAGCCACGGCUAACUACGUG
rnacentral:rRNA from 1 species